GCUCUUCCUUCGGUAACCUUCUGUCCCUAUAUUGUUGGGUGCCGGGGCAACCCGGCUAUGGCGAUAAAUGGCCGUCGUAAUAAACCUUUCGGACCCGGGGGCAGUACCCGGCGCCUCCACCCAAGCCCCCACCCUUACCCUCCCCCGCAUGCGGGGAGGGAUAAAGGGAGGGGGGGGCUUCGGCGGGGGCGAACUAGGAUCGACGAGGGCGUAAAGGACGAACUUUUGCUCGGCAUGGUACCGCCGUUAUCGGGCCAAAUCGUAGUUGCAAAUGACAACUAUGCUCCGGUUGCUCAGGCCGCGUAAGCGGUUUGAAUAACCAAGCCUACAAGUCCUAGCCGUCUUAGCAGCGGUUAGGCGGGGUUCGGAGGCACCUGGCAACAGAAGCCUCCACU
rnacentral:tmRNA from 1 species